CAGGUCCCGUAGCAAUACGGGAUGCUGGCGACCGGCAAACGGGUGCGGAACACGUACGCAACCUUCCUUUAAGUGGAGAAUAGCCCGGGGAAACCCGGAUUAAUACUCCGUAAUAUUAUGAAGUGGCAUCACUUUAUAAUUAUAGCUCCGGCGCUUAAAGAUGGGCGUGCGUCUGAUUAGGUAGUUGGCGGGGUAACAGCCCACCAAGCCUACGAUCAGUAACUGGUGUGAGAGCACGACCAGUCACACGGGCACUGAGACACGGGCCCGACUCCUACGGGAGGCAGCAGUAAGGAAUAUUGGUCAAUGGACGCAAGUCUGAACCAGCCAUGCCGCGUGGAGGAUGAAGGUCCUCUGGAUUGUAAACUUCUUUUAUCUGGGAAGAAACCCACGGUUUCUACUGUGGUUGACGGUACCAGAUGAAUAAGCACCGGCUAACUCCGUGCCAGCAGCCGCGGUAAUACGGAGGGUGCAAGCGUUAUCCGGAUUCACUGGGUUUAAAGGGUGCGUAGGCGGACAGGUAAGUCAGUGGUGAAAUCUCCGGGCUUAACCCGGAAACUGCCGUUGAUACUAUUUGUCUUGAAUAUCGUGGAGAUGAGCGGAAUAUGUCAUGUAGCGGUGAAAUGCUUAGAUAUGACAUAGAACACCGAUUGCGAAGGCAGCUCGUUACACGGUUAUUGACGCUGAGGCACGAAAGCGUGGGGAUCAAACAGGAUUAGAUACCCUGGUAGUCCACGCCCUAAACGAUGAUAACUCGACAUCAGCGAUACACUGUUGGUGUCUGAGCGAAAGCAUUAAGUUAUCCACCUGGGAAGUACGA
rnacentral:rRNA from 1 species